CUUCUCUUCGGAGCAUCGGAGUGACAGGUGGUGCAUGGUUGUCGUCAGCUCGUGUCGUGAGAUGUUGGGUUAAGUCCCGCAACGAGCGCAACCCUUAUCUUUAGUAGCCAGCGGUUAGGCCGGGCACUCUAGGGAGACUGCCAGGGAUAACCUGGAGGAAGGGGGGGAUGACGUCAAAUCAUCAUGCCCCUUAUGACUUGGGCUACCCCCGUGCUACAAUGGCGUAAACAAAGGGAAGCAAACCUGGGAGGCCGAGCAAAUCUCAAAAAUAACGUCUCAUUUCGGAUUGUAGUCUGCAACCCGACUACACGAAGCUGGAAUCGCUAGUAAUCGCAAAUCAAAAUGCUGCGGUGAAUACGUUCCCGGGUCUUGUACAC
rnacentral:rRNA from 1 species